UUUCAAGGAUGGGGGAGAGCCAAUCGGGAUUUUUCAGGUGGGGUUUUUUAGGGCUUUCGGGUUUUUCGGGGCUGGUGAGGUUCAGGGUGGCCGGGGUUGUUUUGAGGGUUAGGGAAAGGGAGGGUGUGGAUCUAGGCUUUUGGGGAGGGGAAAUAGCAAGGGUGGGAAGCUGGCACUAGUACAUAAUUGAGUUUAUGUAACACGUUUUAGUAACACUUUUUGAAAUGAAAAAUUAUUAGAUUUAUAAGUAACACUUUGGUAACAUUUUUUUAGAAUGUAACACUCAAUGUAACACUUUUAUCAUAAGUAACAUUAUAAAGUAACACUUUUGAAAUACGUAACAUUUUAUGGUAACACUAAACUUCUUUUUUUUUUUUUUUUUUUUUUUUUUUUUUUUUUUUUGUGGAAAAAUAUGGUAAUACUAAGUCACUAACCUAUUUCUAUAUCACCCCUAGUAACAAAUGAGAUUUUUGUCCUUUCUUUUUCUUUUUUCUCUGUUUUGGUUUCAGUUUUCCCUUUUUAAAUGUCUUCUUCUCUCUCCUCUAAGGUGAGGCAAAACAAGAUGCGAAGGAAGAGGAUGGAGUAGCUGGAGGACCCGCGUCACAGUAAAUAGCACCGGCGAGAUGGACCAUCAAAAGAGCAGCGUCAACUGCAGAAAACACGCCACUUUUAACAAUAAAAAGUUUGUGGUGGCCAUAGCAAUGGGCCUGGUGAUCGAGGUAGAGAUCUCGCAUUUCGAGUAGAAAUCAACCAACAUCUUAAGGGAAUUGUUAUAGGUUUUUAAAAAAGGUUCGUCAAUGGCGUACAUAACCAUGGGUGGAGCAGAGUUGUCCGCAUUUGAGAUUUUGUGAUGUGAGUGCCCUGUGCUUUUUAGUCGAUUAGAGGUUCUAAACAUAUCAGCAAACCGUUUGAGUGAUGCUUGUGGAAUUUACCUGUCCACCAUAUUGUAUAACUGCAAAGGACUUUAUAGUCUGAACUCUGAAUAUUGAACAAUGUUCGAUCAAGUCGAGAACAAUUCAAAUAGUUGCUAGUACUGCGUCAUCUAUCAUGCUCAAGGGAUUGACAACUCAAUAUAUAGUCUGCAGCAGUUUCAAGGUUUUGAUGCUUGCUUGAUGCUACUGCUGCUGGUGUUGCCUGUUGCUGUUGGUCGGCUUAUGUGCUGCUGAUGUUCAGCUUCCGAGUUGUUGUUGUUCUGUUUCCGAGCUACCGAUGCUCUGUUUUCGAGCUGCUAUUGUUUUGCACAUUGUAAUUUUUUAUUUAUUUGUUGUAAUUGUAAUAUUACAAGCAUUUAUU